rnacentral:rRNA from 1 species
UAGGGAAUCUUCGGCAAUGGACGAAAGUCUGACCGAGCAACGCCGCGUGAGUGAAGAAGGUUUUAGGAUCGUAAAACUCUGUUGUUAGAGAAGAACAAGGACGUUAGUAACUGAACGUCCCCUGACGGUAUCUAACCAGAAAGCCACGGCUAACUACGUGCCAGCAGCCGCGGUAAUACGUAGGUGGCAAGCGUUGUCCGGAUUUAUUGGGCGUAAAGCGAGCGCAGGCGGUUUCUUAAGUCUGAUGUGAAAGCCCCCGGCUCAACCGGGGAGGGUCAUUGGAAACUGGGAGACUUGAGUGCAGAAGAGGAGAGUGGAAUUCCAUGUGUAGCGGUGAAAUGCGUAGAUAUAUGGAGGAACACCAGUGGCGAAGGCGGCUCUCUGGUCUGUAACUGACGCUGAGGCUCGAAAGCGUGGGGAGCAAACAGG